CCUCAGGAGGCGGCUGGAUGAAAUCCUUGGGGAGAGAGGCCGCCUGGACUCAGAACUGAGGAGCAUGCAGGACCUGGUGGAGGACAAUAAGAAAAAAUAUGAAGAUGAAAUCAACAAACGCACAGCAGCAGAGAAUGAGUUUGUGACCCUGAAGAAGGAUGUGGAUGCUGCCUACAUGAAUAAGGUGAAACUGCAAGCCAAGGUAG